AAAUUAAGAAAAGGCGACCAUCUCUUGACUCCUGAGUAAAAGGGACUGUUAGUAGAAAAGGACCAAUUGGAAGGUAAAUAAGCAUAGAAAGAUGGAUCCUCCUCCUCAUACGCAGACAACAGAAGUGCCGACUAGUUGGCGAGGUGCUAAAUUUGUUUGGCGUGCUGUUCUCAUCUUCAAUCUCGGCCUCGGAGCCUACCUCUUUACAAGGCCCGCUAAGAAGGAAAGAAAGUCCAACAUUUCACCACCUGUUAUUCCAGCUGAGACUACUACUCCCACUCCGCCUGCUCCUCAAAAUUUUGAACCCAUCUUUACUCCUAUUCCAGAACCUGUGAAGGUACCAGAGCCCCUUUCUGUAGAUCAGCAGCGCAGUGUUUUUGAAUGGAUGCUAGAAGAGAAGAGGAAGGUCAAACCUCAAAAUCGAGAAGAAAAGAAGAGAAUCAAUGAAGAAAAAGCUUUACUGAAACAGUUCAUACGAGCAGAUUCCAUUCCGAAGAUCUGAUGGCCUGCUAAGAAAGUAAAGGAAAACUACCACUGAACUACGCAUUCUCCAACUAAGACUACUACUUCCACUCUGCCUCUUUCUGUGGAGCAGCAGCGCAGUAUUUUUGAAUGGAUGCUAGAAGAAAAGUGGAAGACCAAACCUCAAGACCAAGAAGAAAAAAAAGAAAGUCACUAAAGAAAAAUCUCUACUGAAGUGGAGUAGUUCAUAUGAGCAGAUUCCAUCCAGAAGAUCUGAUACAAACCUGGCUGUUCAUUUAGUCCCAUUUCUCAUCAUCUGAGCUUUGUUUUACUGUUGUGUGGAGACUUGGUAUGGAUAGGAUUUUGGUGAGGAUAUCAGCAAUUUGAUCCCUUGAACCGAUAUACAGAGCCCCCUGAGUUCUUAGAUGCAACCUUUUCACUGAAAAAGUGAAUUAAGCUCGAUGUUUUUUGUGAGCACAAAACAUUGGAUUGCCUAUGAAAUAGGUUGCUGACAAAUUAUCACUCCACAAUUUCGGGGCAUUAGAAAAUGCAACAUGCAGCUCCUUAAGAAGAUUUUUGAUCCAUGUAAUCUCCACUUGGCAGCAGGUAAAUUAACGCUUGAUAUUUUGACUCAGUACUCGAUCUAGCAACUUUAUGUUGGCUUUUUGGAACUCCAGAACACUAGCUUUGGUCCAAAAAAAAUAUACAUAUAACUAUGAGUAGACCUGUGAUAUCUGAAGAGCUUGCCUAAUCUGUAUAAGAAGUCCCAAUGAUGGACAGACUUGAGUAAGGUCAUUAGCGAGCCAAAGAAUACAUGUAACAGUAACACAGCUCUCCUCAUUUUGGCUUUUUCUGCGUUUGCCAUGCAUGGGACAUGCCAUAUAUACUUGUUAACAAGUACUAACAACUAUUUGAGCUUUCCCCUUUUAGUUUGUAUCCGUUACUCUUUUUAUGCUCUAUCAGAAACAAUCUCUCUACCUUAAAGUCUGC